rnacentral:rRNA from 1 species
UACAUGGGGUGCAAACGUUGCUCGGAAUUAUUGGGCGUAAAGCGCGCGCAGGCGGUUUCUUAAGUCUGAUGUGAAAGCCCACGGCUCAACCGUGGAGGGUCAUUGGAAACUGGGGAACUUGAGUGCAGAAGAGAAAAGCGGAAUUCCACGUGUAGCGGUGAAAUGCGUAGAGAUGUGGAGGAACACCAGUGGCGAAGGCGGCUUUUUGAUCUGUAACUGACGCUGAGGCGCGAAAGCGUGGGGAGCAAACAGG